GACGAACGCUGGCGGCGUGCUUAACACAUGCAAGUCGAACGCUGAAGCUUGGUGCUUGCACUGGGUGGAUGAGUGGCGAACGGGUGAGUAAUACGUGAGUAACCUGCCCUUGACUCUGGGAUAAGCCUGGGAAACUGGGUCUAAUACUGGAUACGACAUGUCACCGCAUGGUGGUGUGUGGAAAGGGUUUUACUGGUUUUGGAUGGGCUCACGGCCUAUCAGCUUGUUGGUGGGGUAAUGGCUCACCAAGGCGACGACGGGUAGCCGGCCUGAGAGGGUGACCGGCCACACUGGGACUGAGACACGGCCCAGACUCCUACGGGAGGCAGCAGUGGGGAAUAUUGCACAAUGGGCGGAAGCCUGAUGCAGCGACGCCGCGUGAGGGAUGGCGGCCUUCGGGUUGUAAACCUCUUUCAGCACGGAAGAAGCGAAAGUGACGGUACGUGCAGAAGAAGCGCCGGCUAACUACGUG
rnacentral:rRNA from 1 species